rnacentral:lncRNA from 1 species
AUGGGCAUCUCCCUUCCCUUACGCGGCGCUGGGAUCCAGCCUGGAAAAGGUCCGGCGCGAGCCCCUCCGUCGGCGAGCGCUUUCCGCUGGAUCCCUUCCCCGCUGCCGGAGGAACGCGCGGCGGAGGCCGGAGCGAGCCGGGCAGCGAUCCCGCCUCCCGUAAACCCCAGGAGGCUCAGAGGCGGAGGGAGGCACCGGCGGGCGGGCGGCCGCGGCCCGAGCGAGCCCGGGCGGGAUUCGGCGAGCUGCCCUUGGUCCCGGCGUCCAAGGUCAUUUCAGUCCCGCGUGUCGGAGCUGGAGCGGAGCCACCCCGGGAUGCUGGAGAGGAACGGCCGGAGCCGAGCGGCGCUGGCAGGAGAGAAUGAGGCGCGACGUCAAGGCCGGAGGGAGCCCCGCGCGUCUCUCCCGCGAUGUCCCCGGUGCUCCCCGCCCCGGGAACCGGGGGGUCACGGCGGGGACAGAGCCGAGACCCGGGUCCCGGGAUGCCCGCAGGUCAGAGGUUUUCAUCUCACCGGGAGCCGCUCCGAGCGCCCCGCGGCACGGAGGGAGCCCGGAGGGAGGCGACCCCCGGCCUGCGGGGCUGUGCGGGGCACGGUGGGACUGUGGGUCUCGGCCACCACCGGGGCCGCGCCCGGGGCAGCCCCGGGGCAGAUCUCAUCCCCGCCGGCGCUCAGAGCCCCUCAGGCGAAGCCGGCGGAGUCGCCGGCGGGCAGCGGCGGGACUUCUUCCCCGGCCCAGCCCGGCCUGGCCCGCCACUUCAGGGAAUUGGGCGAGGGGGCAUCGGUGUUUCCGCGCUCCCCUCAGCGCGGCGCCGCCGGCUGGGACAGGCCGAGGGCCAGCACCGGCUCGGCGGCGGCGGCGGCGGGAGGGUCGCGGUCCCGGCACCCUCCGGCCCCGAGGCCCUUCCCGGCCCCAGCCCCCCUCAGUGCCGGGUCCCCCUCAGCCCCGGAGCCCCCCGAGCCCCCCCGCUACCUGCGCGCGGCCCCGCGCGCCGCCGUCAUGCCCCGCGCGCCCCGGCCUCCUCGCGCCGCCACGGCGCCCGCCCAUUGGCCGCCCGACGCCUUCCACCCCGUCCAUUGGCCGCACACAGCGGAGCCCCGCCCCUUUCCUUCCGCCCAUUGGCUCCACCGCCCAGUCCCGCCUCCGCCACACUGA